AAAAAUUUUUUUUUUACCCCUCAAACAUAAUUUACACCCCCUAACCCUCACUCCCUCUUCUCUCUCUUAAAAACAAUUCUCUCUCUAAACCACCACCACCACCUCCUCUUUUAACUAGGGCUGUGCAAAACUAUCCGAAAAACCGAACCGUAACCGAACCGAAAAAUUGGGUACCCGAACCGUUUAAAGAAAACGGGUCAGGUAACCGAACCGAUAAGAAUUUAACGGUUCGGGUAACGGGUACCCGUUAACACUGUUUCGGGUACCCGAAUGUCCUGAAAAUAUUUUUUUUUCGAAAUCUCAGAUGAAAAAUGUCAGUUUUUUUUUUAAAAAAAAGAAACAGAAAAUAAAGAACAAAAAAGUGAAAACCCUAAACUUCGUUCUUUUCUCAUUUCUCAGUCAUUCACUUCACUCAGCCUCCAUCCCCCUCUCUCUCCUCCUCUUCUCUAAUGUCUCUGCCUCUGGUUCUCUAAUCUCCAUUCUCCAUUCUCCAUUCACUCCUUUAUCUCCUCCAUUGAAGCGGCUCUGAGCUCCACUCCUUCAUCUCCUUCAUUGAAGCGGCUCUGAGCUUUCACUCCUUUAUCUCCUAAUGUCCUCAGAUCGCAGAUUCAAUUUAGGGCUCUGCGUACUUCGACUUCUCCAUUGAAGCGGCUUCUGAGCUAUACGCCUAUACUCCUUCAUCUCCUCCAUUGAAGCGUACUUCGACUUCUCCAUUGAAGCGGCUCUGAGCUUUCACUCCUUCAUCUCCUCCAUUGAAGCGACUUUGAGCUUUCACUCCUUCAUCUCCUCCAUUGAAGCGUACUUCGGCUCUCCAUUGAAGCGGCUUUUGAGCUUUCACUGUUGAGGAGUGUAUGGAAUCUGGAAGUAGUGGGGAUAUGGAAGACUCAUCGGCUACAAGUCAAGCUCCUCCAAUUCCAAGUCCUCCUCCCGAGCCUUGGGAGUAUGACCCUUGUCCAAUGACGAAAAAUAAUGACCCCUUUGACCAGCAAAAUCAAUCAAACCAACCUUCUGAACCUGCUGAUGUUGCUGCCCCCUUAAGUGAAACUUCAAAAAUAUCUAGAAAAAGGCGCUCUCCUCAUUGGGAGCAUUUUAUAAAGAAGGAUGGAGAAAACAAGGCUGAAUGUAUCUAUUGUCAUACAUUCAUUGGUUGUGCAUCACUUCAAGGUACCUUCGGCAUGAAGAACCACAUAAAGCGGUGUAAGGAAUACCCCCCAAACAUUGAUCAAAAUCAGCAACUAUUGUCCCUUAGUCAACAAACUCUUGAUGGGAAUCUCGUGGAUAAAAAAAAAGGUAGACUUGAGCUAUGGAAAUUCAAUCAAG